GUAACGGCGAGUGAAGCGGCAACAGCUCAAAUUUGAAAUCUGGCCGCAAGGUCCGAGUUGUAAUUUGCAGAGGAUGCUUUUGGCGAGGUGCCUUCCGAGUUCCCUGGAACGGGACGCCAUAGAGGGUGAGAGCCCCGUACGGUAGGACCACCGAGCCUUUGUAAAGCUCCUUCGACGAGUCGAGUAGUUUGGGAAUGCUGCUCUAAAUGGGAGGUGUACGUCUUCUAAAGCUAAAUACCGGCCAGAGACCGAUAGCGCACAAGUAGAGUGAUCGAAAGAUGAAAAGCACUUUGAAAAGAGGGUUAAAAAGUACGUGAAAUUGUUGAAAGGGAAGCAUUCAUGACCAGACUUGGGCUUGGUUGAACAUCCGGCGUUCUCGCCGGUGCACUCUGCCAGUCCAGGCCAGCAUCAGUUUGCCCCGGGGGACAAAGGCGGUGGGAAUGUGGCUCUCUCCGGGGAGUGUUAUAGCCCGCCGUGUAAUGCCCUGGGGCGGACUGAGGAACGCGCUUCGGCUCGGAUGCUGGCGUAAUGGUCAUCAAUGACCCGUCUUGAAACACGGACCAAGGAGUCGUCUUCGUAUGCGAGUGUUCGGGUGUCAAACCCCUACGCGAAAUGAAAGUGAACGUAGGUGAGAGCUUCGGCGCAUCACCGACCGAUCCUGAUGUU
rnacentral:rRNA from 1 species